GACGAACGCUGGCGGCGUGCUUAACACAUGCAAGUCGAACGGAAAGGCCCUGCUUUUGGGGGGUGCUCGAGUGGCGAACGGGGGAGUAACACGUGAGUAACCUGCCCUUGACUGUGGGAUAACUUCAGGAAACUUGGGCUAAUACCGGAUAGGAGCUCCUGCUGCAUGGUGGGGGUUGGAAAGUUUCGGCGGUUGGGGAUGUAAUCGCGGCUUAUCAGCUUGUUGGUGGGGUAGUGUCUUACCAAGGUCUUGCCGGGUAGCCGGCCUGGGAGGGUGACCGGCCACAUUAGGCCGGAGAUAAGACACAGCCCCGUACGGUAGGCAACGGUGGAGAGUAUUGCAUAGUGGGAGGGAGCAUGAUCCGAUACAGCAACGUGCGGGAUGUAGGGAAUGGCGUUGGGAAGCGCAGCCGCCUGUCACGAGGCGUGAGUGACGGUAAUGGGUAAAGAAGCACCGGCUAACUACGUG
rnacentral:rRNA from 1 species